UGAAACAGUUGAUGAGUUGUACGCGUUAGUGAGUCGAUAUAACAGGAAACUGUUCUCUUUCGUCGAAGUAAAGAUAUGAACGGUGGAUGUAUAUUAUAUAUUCUGAUAUUUAUACAGUUUACCUUUAGACCUACCUUCACACGUCCUGGAAUUGAUUAUGCUUUUAAUAAAACCUGUAAGGAAUCGUAUGCGGCCGAUGUUAGUUUAGCUGGUUAUGCAGUAGAUGGCAACAUUACCACUUGUAGUCGGACCAGAUUUAAUGACAAUAAUACAAGAUGGUGGUACGUUGACUUUGGAAAGACAGUUAAUGUCGCCUCCGUUAUCAUAAGUAAUAAUCUUGACUUCCCUGGUCGUUUAAAGAACUUCACUAUUAAAACGUACUUAAGCAGUCCUAUCUUAAACCAAACGGAUCACGAAUUAUGUCUCUGGUACGAAGGAAGAUUUACUAGUGGAACAGAUACUGUAACCUGCAAUAACAUUGUGGCAGGUCGAUAUCUAGAGAUUGCCAAAUUGAAUAAAGAUGCACCAUUGGGUUUGUGUGAUGUUAAAGUUUAUGGUGAAGAAUUGCCGAAUCAUACAAUGUACUGCGAAAGCCGUGGUGUACGGAUGGUGAGCAAUUUUGUGAAAGCUAUGGCUGUGGUAGAAGGUCCAAUAGAAUGCGCUCGACGAUGUAGUCAUUCAGAUGGGUGUGGCAUGUUCAACUAUGAAAUCAAUCUAAAACAUUGCAUACUAAUUUAUACCAAUGGAACUCUAAAUCCGGAUUCGGAAUACGGUUUUUAUGUAGCAUGUUAAUAGGGCUAUAUUAUUUUAAUACCAGAAGCCGAUGUUAAAGGAGAUAAAUCUCUACUCUUUGGAAUCUAAAAUGGAAGAAAAUGAGUCGAAAAGCACAUAUUGAAUAAUAUGAAUGUAUAUAAAUUGAUUACAUUUAUUUCUUAAAAUUUGUUAUUGUAAUUUCUUAUCACUUUUGUUCGUCGAAAUAUGUGCUGAACAUUUUUAUUAUUAUUUACAGAAAUCUUUUAUCAUUGUAUGCUUAUGAAUUUAUAUACGCCCACAUUUUCAUGUGGACGUAUAUUGUCGUCGCCCCUGUUUGUCCGUCCGUCCACAAUUUGUUUGUGGACACUCUACAGGUCACAUUUUUUAUCCGAUUUCAACGAAACUUGAAAUAUAGCUUUAUCUUCCUAAGAUCUCGGUUCCUUUCGAUAUUGGCAUGUAUCGGACCAUAACUUCAUGGAUUAUGGCCCCUGAUUGUACAAAAAAUCGCGUUUUUAGCUUGUGGACACUCUAGAGGUCACAAUGUUGAUCCGAUUUUGAUGAAACUUGAAAUGUAAGUUUAUAACCCAAAGAUCUCGGUUCCUUUCAAUAUUCGCGCAUAUCAAACCGUAACUUCCUGAAUUAUGGCCCCUGAUUGUACGAAAAAUCACGUUUUUAGAUUGUGGACCCUAUAGAGGUCAUAAAAUUUCUCACAAUUUUUAUCCGAUUUUGUUGAAACUUGAAAUGUAAGUUUAUAACCCAAAGAUGUCUUUUUUUUCGAUAUCUGCACAUAUCGAAUUAUAAUUUCCUGAAUUAUGGCCCUUGAUUGUAGGAAAAAUCACUUUCUUUUUAGCUUGUUCUCUAUCCAUCUCUCGAAAAUGUGGGCGUAUCCUGCCUGGCAGCCGCUGGUUUGUCGAGUUUUUGAAUCUGGAAUUUUACUUAAAAUCAAUAGAUGAUUAAAAAAGGGACUAAUUGAUGGAUAAAUAAUUCUGUGAUUUCUCUUUGAAACGAACCGUGAAUUACAUUAGGCAUGUAUAAAGACAAGUGUUCAAUGUCAUAUAGAAUCCAUGUGAAAACUGAAAAAGACAACAUGCCUUUGAAUGACAGCUUUCCGUCGACAAAAACAUACUCGAAAAGUAUGUAAAUAUAAGCACUAAAUAUUAGUAUUAAAUAUGAGAUUUAGUUUGUCUGAAGAUGUCCCUCAAAGUUACUGAUCAAAUUAACACUAGGUCAUAAUGUUAGUUGGUGACUAGAAAACCGUAUUUCAAGGUGGGGCUUGGGAGGAGACGGGUUACUGAUAAAAAAUAUAUUAAAGACAAACAAUGGUCUUGCCUGUAACAAUAUUAAUUUUGUUGAGAUGAAUGAGUGGGUAGAAAGGCGGAGACAUAAACAGGAAGAAUAUACCAUAAUUAGACGAAGGCCAUUGUUUACACCAAUUUCAUAAUUACAAUCAUCAAAGAAACGCCAUUUAACUGAUGCGAAAAGUUAAAUAUCAAUUAUGCCGUUUGAUAAAGCACAAAACAAUUUUACAAAAUUUAAAGUAAUUUGUUCCCCUGUGUUCACCCACAAUCACGAAGACAGAAGAUAAUAAUAACCUAUACACUGUAGCACACCUGUAUCCCUAGACAAGUACAGCAGAAAAAUUUGAUAUGUUAUGAAGGAUUGAUUGAAUAGUUAAAUAAGAGGACAGUGUUACUCACCCUUGAUCUACCGAACUAUUAACUAACACUUUAUUCAGUGUUUUAUUCAUUUAUCAGAGACAGCUUCAUGACAAUACAUAGUUAGUUUCGCACUGGCUUACGUCACUGAUUUCUUUAACAAAGGUGUUAUCUGUUGUUUAACAUGCUCAAUGUUGCCCAAGUUUCCUUAAAAAAUUGUGCAUUUUUUAAAUUUUGUUUUUAGGCUUAAAUUUUUAUUUUUUUAUUCAAGAUCAUAAAAUUUAUUUU